rnacentral:tRNA from 1 species
AAAGAAAGUGGCAGAGUGGUUAUGCGGUUGGCUUGAAACCAUCAUAUGGGGGUUCAAUUCCUUCCUUUCUCG